rnacentral:tRNA from 1 species
AUUUCUUUAGUAUUAAUUAGUACAGCUGACUUCCAAUCAGCCAGUUUCGGUAGAAUCCGAAAAGAAAUA